GCGGUCAACGAUAAAUGUCUGACUGUAGUUGAAGCGGAAACGGAAGGAAUUUAAGGAGUUUACAGCCCUGCUGCA
rnacentral:misc_RNA from 1 species